CAGCCGCCACGGUAAGACGAACCGUGCGAACGUUAUUCGGAAUCACUGGGCUUAAAGCGCGUGUAGGCGGGAGGGCACGUCCGUCGCUGAAAUCCCCCGGCUCAACCGGGGAACGGGCGCGGAUACGACUCUUCUGGAGGAACGUAGGGGGACCUGGAACUUCCGGUGGAGCGGUGAAAUGCGUUGAGAUCGGAAGGAACGCCCGUGGCGAAAGCGAGGUCCUGGACGUUUACUGACGCUGAGACGCGAAAGCCAGGGGAGCGAACGGGAUUAGAUACCCCAGUAGUCCCUGUCUCUUAUA
rnacentral:rRNA from 1 species